GAUGAACGCUGGCGGCGUGCCUAAUACAUGCAAGUCGAGCGAACAGACGAGGAGCUUGCUCCUCUGACGUUAGCGGCGGACGGGUGAGUAACACGUGGAUAACCUACCUAUAAGACUGGGAUAACUUUGGGAAACCGGAGCUAAUACCGGAUAAUAUAUUGAACCGCAUGGUUCAAUAGUGAAAGACGGUUUUGCUGUCACUUAUAGAUGGAUCCGCGCCGCAUUAGCUAGUUGGUAAGGUAACGGCUUACCAAGGCGACGAUGCGUAGCCGACCUGAGAGGGUGAUCGGCCACACUGGAACUGAGACACGGUCCAGACUCCUACGGGAGGCAGCAGUAGGGAAUCUUCCGCAAUGGGCGAAAGCCUGACGGAGCAACGCCGCGUGAGUGAUGAAGGUCUUCGGAUCGUAAAACUCUGUUAUUAGGGAAGAACAAAUGUGUAAGUAACUAUGCACGUCUUGACGGUACCUAAGCAGAAAGCCACGGCUAACUACGU
rnacentral:rRNA from 1 species